UACAGAGGUCUCAAGCGUUGUUCGGAUUCAUUGGGCGUAAAGGGUGCGUAGGUGGCGCCAUAAGUCAGGUGUGAAAUCUCGGGGCUCAACUCCGAAACUGCACUUGAUACUGUGGUGCUCGAGUACUGGAGAGGAGAUUGGAAUUUACGGUGUAGCAGUGAAAUGCGUAGAUAUCGUAAGGAAGACCAGUGGCGAAGGCGAAUCUCUGGACAGUUACUGACACUGAGCACGAAGGCCAGGGGAGCAAACGGG
rnacentral:rRNA from 1 species